AGGUACUUACAAGUGUAAGGAGUCGUCUCCAAUUAUCUCUUUGUUAAGAGACCACUACAUCUACUUUGCUUCUCUACCAAGGAACUACCUGAAGCACUGGCCCCUAAUGUGUAGAUGUCCCAGGAUCUUCAAAAAGACAGAAGCAUCUUCACAGCAGCUUGGAGCCAUAAUGCCUUGAGGAUCCUACAGCUAUGAGCUGCAGGCUGAAAGCCACCUGCAUUACAUGAAACAGAUGUGAUGGAAGACCUGGAUGAUCAAAGGCCUCUAUUGAACUCUUCCCACUAGUGGUGACAACUGGGAAGCCUGGAUCCUAGAGCAGAUUGGCCAGGAAAGUGCAGUUGUGACAGGUGAACCUCCUGUGUGGUCUUCUAUAUCACUGGACCAGUUAUUUAGCUAGCAGUUAUCAGUAGGAAUGGAAAACCUGUCUUAUGAAAGGAGAUUUAAAGAGUUU